GUGCUCGCACUCACUUCAGCAGCACAUAUACUAAAAUUGGAACAAUACAGAGAUUAGCAUGACCCCAGCACAAGGAUGACAUGCAAAUUCAUGAAGCAUUCCAUAAUUUU
rnacentral:snRNA from 1 species